rnacentral:rRNA from 1 species
UGAAUACGAGAUGCUACGGCGUCGAAGCAGUGUAUGUCAGACUUCCAAGAAAAGCUCGCAAUGUCAUAAAUAAAGAAUGCCUGUACCAUAACCGACACAGGCGGGUAGGUAGAGUAUACUAAGGGGCGCGAGAUAACUCUCUCUAAGGAACUCGGCAAAAUAACUCCGUAACUUCGGGAGAAGGAGUGCCUUCUUUAAGAAGGUUGCAAUAACAAGAUCCAAGCAACUGUUUAUCAAAAACACAGGUCUCCGCUAAGUCGUAAGACGAUGUAUGGGGGCUGACGCCUGCCCAGUGCCAGAAGGUUAAAGAAGCUGGUUAGCAAUAGCGAAGCUGGUGACUGAAGCCCUGGUGAACGGCGGCCGUAACUAUAACGGUCCUAAGGUAGCGAAAUUCCUUGUCGGGUAAGUUCCGACCCGCACGAAAGGCGUAAUGAUUUGGAUACUGUCUCGGAGAGGGACUCGGUGAAAUAGACUUGUCUGUGAAGAUGCGGACUACCUGCACCAGGACAGAAAGACCCUAUGAAGCUUUACUGUAACCUGAAAUUGAAAUUGGACUUUAUUUGCGCAGUAUAGGUGGGAGGCGUUGAAAGUAAUCUUGCGGGAUUAGUGGAGCCAUCAGUGAGAUACCACUCCUAUAAUGUUAGAUUUCUAACUUUGAUCAUGAUCUGGUCAAAGAGCAGUUUCAGGCGGGCAGUUUGACUGGGGCGGUCGCCUCCCAAAUGGUAACGGAGGCGUACAAAGGUUUCCUCUGAACGGGUAGAAAUCGUAUCUAGAGUGUAAAGGCAUAAGGAAGCUUGACUGUGAGACCUACAAGUCGAGCAGGGACGAAAGUCGGUCUUAGUGAUCUGACGGCGCUGAGUGGAAAGGCCGUCACUCAACGGAUAAAAGUUACUCUAAGGAUAACAGGCUGAUCUCCCCCAAGAGUUCACAUCGACGGGGAGGUUUGGCACCUCGAUGUCGGCUCAUCGCAUCCUGGGGCGGUAGUACGUCCCAAGGGUUGGGCUGUUCGCCCAUGAAAGCGGUACGCGAGCUGGGUUCAGGACGUCGUGAGACAGUUCGGUCCAUAUCCGGUGUAGCGUUAGAAUAUUGAGAGGAGCCUUCUCUAGUACGAGAGGACCGAGAAGGACAUACCUCUGGUGUACCAGUUAUCGUGCCAACGGUAAACGCUGGGUAGCUAUGUAUGGAGAGGAUAACCGCUGAAAGCAUCUAAGUGGGAAGCCCACCUCAAGAUGAGUAUUCUCA